AACGCACAUUGCGCCCAUUAGUAUUCUAUUGGGCAUGCCUGUUCGAGCGUCAUUUCAACCCUUAAGCCCCAGUUGCUUAGCGUUGGGAGCCUACGGAGACGUAGCUCCUCAAAGUCAGUGGCGGAGUCGGCUCAGCACUCUAGACGUAGUAGAAUCUUUUUAUCUCGCCUGUAGUGUGUGCCGGUCCCCUGCCGUAAAACCCCCCCCAAUUUAUCAAAGGUUGACCUCGGAUCAGGUAGGAAUACCCGCUGAACUUAA
rnacentral:misc_RNA from 1 species